GACGAACGCUGGCGGCGUGCUUAACACAUGCCAGUCGAACGGAAAGGCCCUGCUUUUGUGGGGUGCUCGAGUGGCGAACGGGUGAGUAACACGUGAGUAACCUGCCCUUGACUUUGGGAUAACUUCAGGAAACUGGGGCUAAUACCGGAUAGGAGCUCCUGCUGCAUGGUGGGGGUUGGAAAGUUUCGGCGGUUGGGGAUGGACUCGCGGCUUAUCAGCUUGUUGGUGGGGUAGUGGCUUACCAAGGCUUUGACGGGUAGCCGGCCUGAGAGGGUGACCGGCCACAUUGGGACUGAGAUACGGCCCAGACUCCUACGGGAGGCAGCAGUGGGGAAUAUUGCACAAUGGGCGGAAGCCUGAUGCAGCAACGCCGCGUGCGGGAUGACGGCCUUCGGGUUGUAAACCGCUUUCGCCUGUAACGAAGCGUGAGUGACGGUAAUGGGUAAAGAAGCACCGGCUAACUACGUG
rnacentral:rRNA from 1 species